AGACUGGCGAGGCUACCUCCAAGGCGAUGAUGGACAUCUUCAACACCCAAGGUUCUCGUACACAACAGCAUCGUCCAGGCCUCCAGAGUACUCACUCUAUCGCCUGCUGUACGGACGGGAGUCGCAGUUGUUUACUGAGGUGAGACUGAACAUGGACAAGGCUCUUGAGAAAAAGGAGAGCCACCCGAGGAGAAUCAAUUGGCUUGGAAGAAAGGAAAAUGAUACCUGGGAAAGCUUGAUGCUCUUUUGCUCCUCGCUGGGGUCACCAUCCGUUUAAGGACCUAGGGGUUCUGCCUAACACCCAGACCUGGAUCCACCUGAUGUCCUCCAUUACCAACCACCCUCCAACUUUUCAUUACAUCAGCUACUGUUAUUGUCAUGUUGUCAAUAUCUGCUAAGAAAGAGCAAGACAAAUAUCAUACUGGCCACAUAAUGUGAGCUGCACAGAUUAGCUAAAAACACUAGCACUGUAAACCCUCAGAACAAAGAGGGCAGCAGCGCCUGGACUUUGCAGUUUCCCUCUUCGAGUCCACCUUCCAAGACUGACUACAUGUUGAAAACAAGUGACAGGCUUCCAACCUUGCAGCACCCAAGCGACAAACUCCCAUCCGCGCAGCACCCAAGUGACAACCUUACAUCGGCAGAGCACCCACCUCCUCUAUAUUCCACACACCAGAAUUCAGUAUUUCAGUCUUUCAUUGCCAUGUGAGUGAGUGUACAAGAAAAUCAGAAAGUAAGUUGACACACAUGUACCAACAAUAUAUAUUUUUAAUGUAUUUAAAUCUAAAAUAUUGCUGGAUUGGUUUUCACAGAUGUUUCAUAAGGUGUUCGUUAUUGUAAAUUGUUACAUAUCCCUUGAUGGUAUUUGUUCAACAUUAUGAAUUGUUGUAUCAUAAGAUAUUCAACCACAAGGGUGUACUAAUGAGCUAGGCUCCCAACAUUGAAGGUCCUCAAGAACAGUGGCCUCCUUCAUUCUUAAAUUUAAGAAGUUUUGAACCACCAAGACUCUUCCUAGAGCUGGCCGCCCGGCCAAACUGAGCAAUCGAGGGCGAAGGGCCUUGGUCAGGGAGGUGACCAAGAACCCGAUAGUCACUCUGACAGAGAUCCAGAGUUCCUCUGUGGGAAUGGGAAAACGUUCCAGAAGGACAACCAAAAAAUGGUGUAUUGUGGGUAUUAAUCCAAUUUAAUCCAUUUUAGAAUAAGGCUGUAAUGUAACAAAAUGUGGAAAAAGUCAAGGGGUCUGAAUACUUUCUGAAUGCACUGACUGAUAUAGUUCCAGUCCUCUAGGGCUGCACUGUCUCUGUUUUUUGUCCUUGGCUAAUAGGUGAAUCAGAGACUGAGUUAUAGAGGUGUUUGAGAUCUCCCUAGCCAAUCAUUGACAUUAAAUGAUCAACUACACCCUUUUUACA